CGUUCCCGACCACAUCUAAAACCCCGUUUCCAAACACUUCCUUACCCCUCUCUCUCUCUCUGGAAGGAGAGCACAAUCGUCCAUCCGUCCCGUCGUCGUGAAUGAAUUCCAAAUAAUCCCGCCAAAGUUAUCGCCUCGAAGUCGAGGCUGUGUCAAUGUCAAUGGGGGUUCGAUUAGGGUUUCGCUUGCUUGACUUGAGGUUGUGAUCGGAGGGGAGGAGGGAUGAAUAGUGUGGGGGAUCUCAACAAGGUGUGGGAGAUCAAGGCUUUGAAGAAGCCCGGAGAGGAUGAAGCUAGGAAGAUGCUCGAGAGGAUCGCCAAACAGGUCCAGCCCAUCAUGCGCAAUCGCAAAUGGCGGGUCAAGCUCCUGAGCGAGUUCUGUCCGAAGAACGGACGUCUUCUUGGCUUGAAUGUGAAUCAUGGAGUGAAUGUGAAGCUGCGGCUCCGAAGGCCUAACCGCGAGUACGAGUUCUAUCCUUAUGAGCAGGUGCUUGACACGAUGCUUCAUGAGCUGUGCCAUAUCAUCCGCGGUCCUCACGAUGCCACAUUUUACAAGCUCUGGGAUGAACUUAGAAAGGAAUGCGAGCAGUUGAUUUCACAUGGAAUGUCGGGCUCCAGUGAGGGGUUUGUUCUCCCAGGAAGGCGCCUAGGUGGUCUCUCUCGUCAGCCUCCUCUUUCUGCACUACGCCGUACUGCAGCAGCAGCUGCUGAAAAGAGGGUAGUGUUGGGUUCUCUACUUCCCUCUGGACCCAGACGCCUCGGUGGUGAUAAUAACAUCAUGAGUGCACUCAGUCCUGUACAGGCUGCUGCAAUGGCUGCAGAGAGGAGAUUGCAGGAUAAUAUUUGGUGUGGUUCUGGCUCCUGCCAAGAGCCUGAGGUUAUAGAAAAUAGUUCCGAUGUCUUGCAAGAUGUACAGAAUGUGACGGAAAGCCAGGGUAGUCCAAGAGAUAUUGGCCCUAGCAGACAAAUUGCAGACUUAGUAUCUAGGAAAAGAUUGCAUGAACCAGAUGCGAAAUUGACUGUACAAUCAUCAAAGAGGAAGCAACUAUCCAAUUUGGUGGAUUUGACCCAGGGUGCUUCAACAUCAUCGCCUACAAUUGAUUGCCCCUCCAAAUUUCAAAAUAGAAGAGCUGAGUCUGAUAAUGUUUUGCCUGCUUGGUCUGAAGAUAAUUCUGCUGCACCUGCCAGCUCCACUGCAAGCCAGAGCUCUAAAGAUAAUCCUCAGGAACUCCAUCAGUGGGAGUGUGCAGUUUGCACUUUGUUGAACCCUAAAUGUAGCCAUUGGCUCCACUGUGCGAGAUUUGUGGCUCCCAAAGACCCAUGGAUAACGGUGCCGAGUUCAAGUUCUGGUCCUGUAAAUUCUGUACUUUGGACAAUGGUGUGGAGUUAGAUAGAUGCUCAGCAUGUCAGCAGUGGAGAUAUUCAACUGGAGCUCCAGCGUCGGCAUACCCACUCCACCGGGGGGAUUGAUCGGUCCUAAUGGGAAGGGACCAAUACGUGGACUCUUAACUCUGGACAUUCUUUUGGCGAAUAUCUUGAUUUCUCUGCAGAUAGACUGGUGAAGUGAGAACCUUUACCGAGUGAGGCACCCCGGGGUGAGACUGGAGAGCAGGUACAGCUGCUAUUGCCCUCUAGUCCAUUUUUGAAGGAUCGACUUAAUUAUUGUGUUCUUCUGAUAUUUGGACACUCCAACAAUGAUUGAAUCUCGUUAUAUUGAUUGCCAUGCCUUGGUUCAUUUUUGUGCUA